CCUACGGGAGGCAGCAGUGAGGAAUUUUCGGCAAUGGGGGCAACCCUGACCGAGCAAUACUACGUGAAGGAUGAAGGUCUACGGAUUGUAAACUUCUGUUAGUGUGGAAGAAGAGCAAAUGUAAGUUUGUUUUGACGGUACACACAAAGAAAGCGACGACUAACUAUGUGCCAGCAGUCGCGGUAAGACAUAGGUCGCGAACGUUAUCCGGAAUUAUUGGGCGUAAAGGGUGCGUAGAUUGUUUAAUAAGUUAUCAGUGAAAGCGAGGCCUAACCACGCAGCAGCGGGUAAUACUAUUAGACUAGAGGAGAGGAGAGGUUAAUGGAACUCUAUGUGGAGCGGUAAAAUGCGUAGAUAUAUGGAAGAACACCAAUAACGGCGAAGGCAAUUAACUAUUCUCUUUCUGACGUUGAGGCACGAAAGCGUGGGGAGCAAAACGG
rnacentral:rRNA from 1 species